rnacentral:rRNA from 1 species
GACGAACGCUGGCGGCGUGCUUAACACAUGCAAGUCGAACGGAAAGGCCCUGCUUUUGUGGGGUACUCGAGUGGCGAACGGGUGAGUAACACGUGAGUAACCUGCCCUUGACUUUGGGAUAACUUCAGGAAACUGGGGCUAAUACCGGAUAUGAGCUCCCGCUGCAUGGUGGGGGUCGUAAAGUUUCGGGGGUUGGGGAUGGACUCGCGGCUUAUCAGCUUGUCGGUGGGGUAGUGGCUUACCAAGGCUUUGACGGGUAGCCGGCCUGAGAGGGUGACCGGCCACAUUGGGACUGAGAGACGGCCCAGACUCCUACGGGAGGCAGCAGUGGGGAGUAUUGCACAGUGGGCGGAAGCCUGAUGCAGCAACGCCGCGUGCGGGAUGACGGCCUUCGGGUUGUAAACCGCUUCCGCCUGUGACGAAGCGUGAGUGACGGUAAUGGGUAAAGAAGCACCGGCUAACUACGUG